UGACAGAUGAUCCAAGGAGUUCUAUUCUAUAACUUCUUCCGAUUUCAAAAAGGGGUACCCCGGCGAUUGUCAACCCUGGAGCCAUGAUAUGAAACGGGUCAAUAAAGCAUAGCAGAAAGCAAAUUUCUAAAAUACUCAAAUAAUAAAAAAUAAUAAAAUCGGUGGUAAGUGCGAAAUAUGUGACUUGACCAAAGCACAAUCUUAUUAUUAUUAACUAUUCAAAUUAAAUCGUGAACCCUUUCUUUUCUCUUUGAACAGUCCAAUAAAAAAAAAAGGGGGGUCCGGUUUUCCGCGUUCUUCCCCAUUGUCCAUAGAGAACUCUGGCAAGGGCCGGUUCAGAAAAACCAAAUAGAAAAUCUAGGAAGACUUCGGUUGGAAUAAAAUUCCUAUGAUCUGUAUCCCCCUUCCUUUCAAAAUAGAAAUAGGGGAAUUUUGGAAAUAUCGGUUUGAUU
rnacentral:lncRNA from 1 species